UACGUAGGGGGGCAAGCGUUGUCCGGAAUCAUUGGGCGUAAAGAGCGUGUAGGCGGCCACGCAGGUCCGUUGUGAAAACUGGAGGCUCAACCUCCAGCUGUCGACGGAAACCGUGUGGCUAGAGUCCGGAAGAGGAGAGUGGAAUUCCUGGUGUAGCGGUGAAAUGCGCAGAUAUCAGGAAGAACACCAAUGGCGAAGGCAGCUCUCUGGGACGGUACUGACGCUGAGACGCGAAAGCGUGGGGAGCGAACAGG
rnacentral:rRNA from 1 species